GUCAACCAAGUUCAGAGAGCACCAAGGACCCUCCAUUUCAACCCUGCGCUACAAAUAUUCUCCUUCAUAGAAGAGAUA